rnacentral:rRNA from 1 species
GACGGAGGAUGCAAGCGUUAUCCGGAAUUAUUGGGCGUAAAGCGUUCGUAGGUGGCUGUUCAAGUCUGCCGUUAAAGACCGGGGCUUAACUCCGGAAAAACUGUGGAAACUGAACAGCUAGAGUAGGGUAGGGGUAAGGGGAAUUCCCGGUGUAGCGGUGAAAUGCGUAGAUAUCGGGAAGAACACCGGUGGCGAAGGCGCCUUACUGGACCCUAACUGACACUGAGGGACGAAAGCUAGGGGAGCGAAAGGG